UCCCUGGUAGCUCAGACGGUAAAGCGUCUGCCUACAAUGCAGAAGACCCGGGUUCAAUCCCUGGGUCAGGAAG